rnacentral:rRNA from 1 species
GGGUUGUGAGGUUAAGCGACUAAGCGUACACGGUGGAUGCCCUGGCAGUCAGAGGCGAUGAAGGACGUGCUAAUCUGCGAAAAGCGUCGGUAAGGUGAUAUGAACCGUUAUAACCGGCGAUGUCCGAAUGGGGAAACCCAGUGCAAUUCGUUGCACUAUCGUUAACUGAAUACAUAGGUUAACGAGGCGAACCGGGGGAACUGAAACAUCUAAGUACCCCGAGGAAAAGAAAUCAACCGAGAUUCCCCCAGUAGCGGCGAGCGAACGGGGAGCAGCCCAGAGUCUGAAUCAGCUUGUGUGUUAGUGGAACGGUCUGGAAAGUCCGACGGUACAGGGUGAUAGUCCCGUACACCAAAAUGCACAGGCUGUGAACUCGAAGAGUAGGGCGGGACACGUGGUAUCCUGUCUGAAUAUGGGGGGACCAUCCUCCAAGGCUAAAUACUCCUGACUGACCGAUAGUGAACCAGUACCGUGAGGGAAAGGCGAAAAGAACCCCGGCGAGGGGAGUGAAAAAGAACCUGAAACCGUGUACGUACAAGCAGUGGGAGCACCUUCGGGUGUGACUGCGUACCUUUUGUAUAAUGGGUCAGCGACUUAUAUUCUGUAGCAAGGUUAACCGUAUAGGGGAGCCGCAGGGAAACCGAGUCUUAACUGGGCGUUAAGUUGCAGGGUAUAGACCCGAAACCCGGUGAUCUAGCCAUGGGCAGGUUGAAGGUUGGGUAACACUAACUGGAGGACCGAACCGACUAAUGUUGAAAAAUUAGCGGAUGACUUGUGGCUGGGGGUGAAAGGCCAAUCAAACCGGGAGAUAGCUGGUUCUCCCCGAAAGCUAUUUAGGUAGCGCCUCGUGAACUCAUCUUCGGGGGUAGAGCACUGUUUCGGCUAGGGGGUCAUCCCGACUUACCAACCCGAUGCAAACUACGAAUACCGAAGAAUGUUAUCACGGGAGACACACGGCGGGUGCUAACGUCCGUCGUGAAGAGGGAAACAACCCAGACCGCCAGCUAAGGUCCCAAAGUCAUGGUUAAGUGGGAAACGAUGUGGGAAGGCACAGACAGCCAGGAUGUUGGCUUAGAAGCAGCCAUCAUUUAAAGAAAGCGUAAUAGCUCACUGGUCGAGUCGGCCUGCGCGGAAGAUGUAACGGGGCUAAACCAUGCACCGAAGCUGCGGCAGCGACACUAUGUGUUGUUGGGUAGGGGAGCGUUCUGUAAGCCUGCGAAGGUGUGCUGUGAGGCAUGCUGGAGGUAUCAGAAGUGCGAAUGCUGACAUAAGUAACGAUAAAGCGGGUGAAAAGCCCGCUCGCCGGAAGACCAAGGGUUCCUGUCCAACGUUAAUCGGGGCAGGGUGAGUCGACCCCUAAGGCGAGGCCGAAAGGCGUAGUCGAUGGGAAACAGGUUAAUAUUCCUGUACUUGGUGUUACUGCGAAGGGGGGACGGAGAAGGCUAUGUUAGCCGGGCGACGGUUGUCCCGGUUUAAGCAU